rnacentral:rRNA from 1 species
AGCUUCAGUAGCGUAUAUUAAAGUUGUUGCAGUUAAAAAGCUCGUAGUCGCAUUUCUGGCGAGAGGAUCCGGUCCGACCUUUUGGUGGGUUCUUGGGUCUCUUUCGCCAUCCUUGAGUGGUCCGUUCUGGCAUUAGGUUGUCGGAGCGUCAGCCGCUCAUCGUUUACUGUGAGAAAAUUAGAGUGUUCAAAGCAGGCUUAUGCCGUUGAAUAUAUUAGCAUGGAAUAAUAAGAUAGGACCUCGGUACUAUUUUGUUUGUUUGCGCUCCAAGGUAAUGAUGAACAGGGACAGUUGGGGGUAUUUGUAUUUCGUUGUCAGAGGUGAAAUUCUUAGAUUUACGAAAGACAAACUACUGCGAAAGCAUUUACCAAGGAUGUUUUCA